ACGGCUCAGUAACACGUGGACAACCUACCCUACGGAGGGGGAUAACCCCGGGAAACUGGGGAUAAUACCCCAUAGACUAUGGAUGCUGGAAUGCUCUGUAGCCGAAAGGUCCGCCGCCGUAGGAUGGGUCUGCGGCCGAUUAGGUUGUUGUUGGGGUAACGGCCCAACAAGCCUGUAAUCGGUACGGGUUGUGGGAGCAAGAGCCCGGAGAUGGAUUCUGAGACACGAAUCCAGGCCCUACGGGGCGCAGCAGGCGCGAAAACUUUGCAAUGCGGGAAACCGUGACAAGGGAACUCUGAGUGCCCGUAAAAUCGGGCUGUCCAUCGGUUUAAAUAACCGGUGAAGAAAGGGCCGGGCAAGACCGGUGCCAGCCGCCGCGGUAAUACCGGCGGCUCGAGUGGUGGCCACUAUUACUGGGCUUAAAGCGUUCGUAGCUGGUUUGUUAAGUCUCUGGGGAAAUCUUCCGGCUUAACCGGAAGGCGUCUCAGGGAUACUGGCAGACUAGGGACCGGGAGAGGUGAGAGGUACUCCAGGGGUAGGAGUGAAAUCCUGUAAUCCUUGGGGGACCACCUGUGGCGAAGGCGUCUCACCAGAACGGCUCCGACAGUGAGGGACGAAAGCUGGGGGAGCAAACCGGAUUAGAUACCCGGGUAGUCCCAGCUGUAAACGAUGCGCGUUAGGUGUAUCGGUGACCACGAGUCACCGAGGUGCCGAAGAGAAAUCGUGAAACGUGCCGCCUGGGAAGUACGGUCGCAAGGCUGUAACUUAAAGGAAUUGGCGGGGGAGCAC
rnacentral:rRNA from 1 species